ACGGAUAUAGUAUAACGGUUAGUAUAGCUACCUUCCAAGUAGUUGGCGAGGUUUCGAUUACCUCUAUCCGUA
rnacentral:tRNA from 1 species